rnacentral:ncRNA from 1 species
CUUAUCAAGAGUGGCUUCUUGCACAAAAGCGGGGGACUGGUCCCUAUGAAGCCCGGCAACCUAUUCGCUGACGAAAAAGGUGCUACUUCCUGCGGUGUAUACCGAGAGAUGAGG